UUGAAACCACGUCCUGGCAUUAAAGCCUGA
rnacentral:sRNA from 1 species